UACGUAGGGUGCGAGCGUUGUCCGGAAUUAUUGGGCGUAAAGAGCUCGUAGGCGGUGUGGUCACGUCGGCCGUGAAAACCUGCAGCUUAACUGUGGGCGUGCGGUCGAUACGGGCAUCACUGGAGUUCGGCAGGGGAGACUGGAAUUCCUGGUGUAGCGGUGAAAUGCGCAGAUAUCAGGAGGAACACCGGUGGCGAAGGCGGGUCUCUGGGCCGAUACUGACGCUGAGGAGCGAAGCGUGGGAGCAAACAGG
rnacentral:rRNA from 1 species